rnacentral:misc_RNA from 1 species
GAAUGAAGAACGCAGCGAAAUGCGAUAAGUAAUGUGAAUUGCAGAAUUCAGUGAAUCAUCGAAUCUUUGAACGCACAUUGCGCCCGCCAGUAUUCUGGCGGGCAUGCCUGUCUGAGCGUCAUUUCAACCCUCAUGCCCCUAGGGCGUGGUGUUGGGGAUCGGCCAAAGCCCGCGAGGGACGGCCGGCCCCUAAAUCUAGUGGCGGACCCGUCGUGGCCUCCUCUGCGAAGUAGUGAUAUUCCGCAUCGGAGAGCGAUGAGCCCCUGCCGUUAAACCCCCAACUUUCCAAGGUUGACCUCAGAUCAGGUAGGAAUACCCGCUGAACUUAAGCAUAUCAAUAAGCGGAGGA